UUAUUCGCUUGGUUUCUUCAUAUUAAUAUUCGUCGGUGAAGCGAUGGCAAACGAAAGGCCCUAUGCGGUGCUCCAAAAUCAAAAUUUAGUGUUGCUCAUUAGCGUGCUGUCGGUUCUCCUGGUAGCUGUGCUGGUCAUGGCAGUGUGUGUGUACAAGCCGCUGAGAACACGGUGACUGAGGAGUUUUAGUUUGUUAUGAAAGCCCUGCUGGUGAGCAGAUGAUGGAGGAAGAGGACCUGGGACGUGAGGAGCGGAGCGUCGGGUGGAACAAUGGACGACUUCAGCUGGCCUUCAGUGUUUCAUUCAGGAGCCACUCUGUGGGAAAAUGUCUUUACACUAUAAUCAUGGGUAAUUCAGCAUGAUGAGGACUUUGAGGCCGUGCGUCGCUUUUUUUGGUGAAAUUAAAUCAGGGAAACCAUUUAUGAAUUCUCUCGUGAAUCCAGAUUUGAAUCAUUUCUAUGUUUUAGUCAUUUCCCUGCUCUAACGCACCUGACUGAACUAUAUUCAUCUUUUUCCUGCUCCAGAUGUGGAAUAUGUUUAAAAAUGUACAUUUUCUUUAACAUUUUGUUCAUAACUCAGCAGAAAUUGUUUCCGUGGUUAAAUGUAGCUAGCCGACGUAACGCAAAAUGUUUGUAGUGUUAGUUAGCUAAGAAGAAUCUUCAGUCUUCUCACUGUUUCACACAAGAGCUAAAAAUUAGCUCUUUUAGUGCAGGUUUAUAAUUUACAUGCUUGUAUGUCUAGUACAUUGUUUCUAUAUAUGUAAAUUGUUUUAUUGAUAUAUAGGCAUUCCACAACAUUAAAUGUAACUAUGAAUAGAUAAAUAGACAGGUAAACGUACAGCGCCGUUAAUGCGGGGGUUCGUGGUAAUAUAAGCCAUGAUAGAAUGUUAGAGUGGUAUACUGAUAUGAAAAUCUAAUCUCACGAUGAGAGUUUAGACGGUGAGUUAGCGCAGGGAAAGUCUGACGUUAUAGCAUAACAGAUGGACUGCGGUAAUCUCAUUGCGUUCAACCUGAUGUCAUUAUGAUGUUUAGUGUAUAUGGAGUUGAACACGAGCCUGCGUUUGAAUCAGGGGAAAGGCGGAGAAGCGCCAUGGCGACUGCGUCUGUUUCGGUUUGUUUGAACUGCUGUUGAAUUGUUAUUAUUUACACCUGCACUUUUAUAUUUCGGUCCUCAGUGUUAUUUUACGUAUUUAUUAUCAGAUGUUUGAGUGAGUAUUUUUUAGUUGUGAAAUAAAGCUCUUGUAAAACUGGAGAUUUACAGCCCACUGUACGUUUACAUGUUAUUGGGACGGGAUAAUAUUUCCGUGGGUCAAUAACCCGACGAUGAAACCAUCAGUGUCGAGCGAUGAAUUAGAUCACGAGGUUUCAUCGUAAAAAUGAUGCAAGGGAAACUAUCACACGCUUGUUUUCUUUUUCAGCGUUGGACUGGGUUGAUGCCGCGUUUCUUCGGAAUACCGAACACGAGGAACGGAAAAGUUGUAACGUUUUCAAUGACUAAUGAUGACGUGUGUGAAAAAUAUCAGCCUGAAAGGGGGUGUGUCAGGUGCAUGAUCAUUGAUAGGCUGAUGAAUCUGUGCGGGAAAAAAAUCAGCCCCAGCCUCACGUCUUGCUUCUUUAACAAAUAAUCAAAGAUUUUUUAAAACUUUGAAAGAUGGGCGUGGCUUAUCCAU